rnacentral:rRNA from 1 species
GAACGCUAGCGGCAGGCUUAAUACAUGCAAGUCGAGGGGCAGCAUGAAGUAGCAAUACUUUGAUGGCGACCGGCAAACGGGUGCGGAACACGUACACAACCUCCCUUUAAGUGGGGAAUAGCCCAGAGAAAUUUGGAUUAAUACCCCGUAACAUUGCGAUGUGGCAUCACAUUGCAAUUAUAGUUUCGACGCUUAAUGAUGGGUGUGCGUAUGAUUAGAUAGUUGGCGAGGUAACGGCUCACCAAGUCUACGAUCAUUAGCUGAUGUGAGAGCAUGAUCAGCCACACGGGCACUGAGACACGGGCCCGACUCCUACGGGAGGCAGCAGUAAGGAAUAUUGGUCAAUGGACGCAAGUCUGAACCAGCCAUGCCGCGUGAAGGAUUAAGGU